GAUGAACGCUGGCGGCGUGCCUAAUACAUGCAAGUCGAGCGAACGGACGAGAAGCUUGCUUCUCUGAUGUUAGCGGCGGACGGGUGAGUAACACGUGGAUAACCUACCUAUAAGACUGGGAUAACUUCGGGAAACCGGAGCUAAUACCGGAUGAUAUUUUGAACCGCAUGGUUCAAAAGUGAAAGACGGUCUUGCUGUCACUUAUAGAUGGAUCCGCGCUGCAUUAGCUAGUUGGUAAGGUAACGGCUUACCAAGGCAACGAUGCAUAGCCGACCUGAGAGGGUGAUCGGCCACACUGGAACUGAGACACGGUCCAGACUCCUACGGGAGGCAGCAGUAGGGAAUCUUCCGCAAAGGGCGAAAGCCUGACGGAGCAACGCCGCGUGAGUGAUGAAGGUCUUCGGAUCGUAAAACUCUGUUAUUAGGGAAGAACAUAUGUGUAAGUAACUGUGCACAUCUUGACGGUACCCAAUCAGAAAGCCACGGCUAACUACGUG
rnacentral:rRNA from 1 species